CAGAGAUCAUAAGACAACAUGAUCCUCACUGACAUAUGAGACAGACUUCAUAUGGAGAAUCAUCACAGGUAAAUUUACUACUGCACUAUACUCUUUUUGUUAGACUAUAACAAUAUUUGAGAACUGGAUUAUUUUGCCUAAGUACAUAUUGGAUCACUAUCUGAAUAUACUUGGUGGAAUUUAGUGACCCCGAGACUGAGUCUAUGAAACACAGAGGUCUAAACACCUCUUGAAUACAGACGAAGUGCAGUCACUCAGUGAGACAUCAGGUACAGAUGUGAUUGGCAAUACAAGGAAACAGCAAAGUACCAGUUACAAUAUAUUGAGUCCAUACACAGAGUUGGAAGUGUAUAGAGAUAUUGGAAUUCGGAAUCUAGCGUCAUAGCUGUGAGAAUACCAAUUACAGGAAAGUGACCAAGGGGCUGAGCAUUUAAGGUAAUUGAACUAUUUUUGCUAUUUAGUCAAUAUUGUUAGAAGUGUUAACGCAUUUAAAGUCUUGCAAUAUUAUCUGGCAUAGCUUAAAGCAUUAAGGAUUGAUUGAGCAUUAUUGUUGUAUUGAGAAACUGUAUAACCAUUGAAUUGUAAUGAUGUGUAUAGGACAAAAAACAGAGUGACUAAAUAAAAGCUUGAAACUUUGACAACUAGGCCAGAUUAACGAUCUGGAGAGCAAACGCCUUUGACACUCUCACUGAACAGAAAGUAAAGCAACGUCAGCACAAGAACUGUUCGCCGGGAGCUUCAUGAAAUUAGUUUCCAUGGCCGAGCAGCCACACACAAGCCUAAGAUCACCAUGCACAAUGCCACGUGUCGGCUGGAGUGGUGUAAAGCUUGCCGCCAUUGGACUCUGGAGCAGUGGAAACGCGUUUUAUGGCGUGAUGAAUCACGCUUCACCAUCUGGCAGUCCGACGGACAAAUCUGGGUUUGUCAGAUGCCAAAAGUAUGCUACCGGACCCAACUGUAAAGUUUGGUGGAGGAGGAAUAAUGAUCUGAGGCUGUGUUUCAUAGUUCGGGCUAGGCCCCUUAGUUCCAGUGAAGGGAAAUCUUAACACUAUAGCAUACAAUGACAUUCUAGAUGAUUAUGUGCUUCCAACUUGGGAAGGAAUGUUCCAACAUCUAGUGGACAGCCUUCCCAGAAGAGUGGAGGCUGGUAUAGCAGCAAAGGGCGGACCAACUCCAUAUUAAUGUCCAUGCUCUGGGAAUGAGAUAUUUGACGAGCAGGUGUCCACAUACAUUUGGGCCAUGUAUCUCCAUGGGGCGGGUUGAUAUUUAAUUAAAUUUUUUAAAAUUGUACCUUUAUUUAACCAGGCAAGUCCGUUAAGAACAAAUUCUUAUUUUCAAUGACGGCCUAGGAACAGUGGGUUAACUGCCUGUUCAGGGGCAGAACGACAGAUUUUGUACCUUGUCAGCUCGGGGAUUUGAACUUGCAACCUUUCGAUUACUAGUCCAAUGCAGUGUUAAAGCCUAUAGAGUCACACACUCAAUUGGAAUAAAAAAACAUUAAAACUGUACGCUCAAAACCACAGACCCAGUGCAUGGGCGAGCGGUUUGCUUAUGUCAACGUUGUGAACAGAGUGCCCCAUGGUGGCUGUGGGGUUAUUGUAUGGGCAGGCAUAAGUUAUGGUUAACAAACACAACUGCAUUUUAUUGAUGGCAAUUUGAAGGCACAUAAAUAACGUGACGAGAUCCUGAGGCCCAUUUUUCUUUUUAAUAAAUCAAAGCAAAUGUUAUUUGUCACAUACACAUGGUUAGCAGAUGUUAAUGCGAGUGUAGCGAAAUGCUUGUGCUUCUAGUUCCGACAAUGCAGUAAUAACCAACGAGUAAUCUAACCUAACAAUUUCACAACAGCUACUUUAUACACACAAGUGUAAAGGGAUGAAGAAUAUGUACAGAAAAAUAUAUGAAUGAGUGACGGUACAGAACGGCAUAGGCAAGAUGCAGUAGAUGGUAUCGAGUACAGUAUAUACAUAUGAGAUUAGUAAUGUAGGGUAUGUAAACAUAUAAAAGUGGCAUUUAAGGUACAGUAUCUGUGACCAACAUAUGCAUAUCUGUUAUCUGUAUUCCCAGUCAUGUGAAAUCCAUAUAUUAUGGCCUAAUGCAUUUAUUUAAAUUGACUUGUUUCCUCAUAUGAACUGUAAAAUCUUGGUAAUUGUUGCAUUUAUGUUUUUGUUCAGUUUAUAUUAGAUGUGUUACCAUAUUAACACAAGAGUUCUAGAACACACAAUAUUAAAGCUGAUCUACCCCCCCCCCCCCUCAAAACUGAGGGACAAAUGUAAAUGAAUCACAUUAAAUACUGUAAAUAAUCUUCAGAAAUGACUAUGUCAAAAUAACAAAAUAACUAGGUCUUCACAAUUUAUUUUAUUUAACUAGGCAAGUCAGUUAAGAACAAAUUCUUAUUUACAAUGACGGCCUAGGAACAGUGGGUUAACUUCCUUGUUCAGGGGCAGAACAACAGAUUUUUACCUUGUCAGCUCAGGGAUUCAAUCCACCAACCUUUUAGUUACUGGCCAAAUGUGCUAACCACUGAGCUACCUGCACAAUGGUGAAAACUUGGGAAAAACUUAGAGUGUUUAGUAAUAAUCCAUUUAGUAUAAAGGGAAAUAAACAAAAAAAGGUGGUCCUCCUGUUGGUGAGCAGAUGUUUCACAUAGUUUCCUCUGCUAGCGUGGUUGAUCUGUGUGUCACAGCUCAGCAGCUUGGGCUUGUAGCAGUACCAGGGCUCCCCUGUGUGGGGGUCUGUGUAAUUGCACAAUGGCUCCUGGUUUGUCAGCAGACACAGGUUACGUACAGAUGUUUGGGACAGUUUUCCAGAGCGGAACAGACAGAGAAAAUCAAAUUGGGCCGUUCUUCUCGUAACCGUCCUAGAACAUGAACAGCCUCACUAGGAUGGACCAGUGUCACCUCCACCUUUGCAGAUCCCUGCCAUAGUAACGGGAAAAUGGCAGAGUAGGUCCCAUUCCUGUGGUCCAACACCUGUACUGCAACGCCUGCCCCCAACUUGGAGGAGUGCAGAAGGGCCAGCAAGAAGUCUCCACCAUAGCUCUUGGGAUGCCCCUGGAAGUCAUGCAUAUGGACCAGAACCUCCAACUGGUUCCCCAUAUGCCACUCUCUUCUGCCUCCUGCUGGCAGGAUCACAAAAUGGCUGUAUGCUGGGUCACUGGUCUGGUUCAGGGACACAUUCACAGAAUGGGGCUGAGGCUGUGGCCAGGCGAUGGACUCCAGGAGGUAUUGCUCAUCCAGUAGCUCUGGUUGCGGCGCAGAGGAGAAGGACCCGCUGUGAUGAAAGCUGGGUGGAUGCUGCUCUGGGGCUGGUAGAACGUUGACAUCAUUUGGCAGUUGUGCUUCUGCUGAGAAGAGUAGAGGUACAGGUGUGCAACACUGGAAGCAUAAGUUUUAUAGAAAGUGCUACGCUCAAAUAAAUGUCAAUUAUAUCUGGACGUAAGCAGCAUGUCUCCGUGAGAGGCUAGCGCUGGUCAUUGUAAAAUGACUCUAUUUUUGUAUUUUCAAGAAUGACACAUGGCUCACACCCGAGAACAUUUGGUAAAGUGGCUUGCUCUCUGCUCACGCUGGCGUAAAAAAAAUCUUUGUCCAGUGUAGCAGCUAAAAACCUACAGUUUUCGCUAAGCCCCAGUGUAGCUCCAAUGUGAGGGGGAGAGGGUGGUAAAGAAGGUAAAUUGUGAUUGAAGCCAUGUGAGAAAUGAAUCAUGUUUAACCUGUAACUUAUUUUGAGUGCAGAUGGAUUUACCCUACCUCCAGAAUGUUGAUAUUGCUGAACAGGAAGAAGAACCAUGACAGGGCCAGCAGGAAGAAGAUACAGAUAUAUUUGGACCAGCUUCUGUCAGUCCCCCUGAUGUUAACACAAAGAAGCUGACGAACGGCGUAACAGAAUCACCCACCACAACAGGACCAAGCAGCGUGGUGACAGGCAGCGGCAGCAGGAGCUACGAAGUUUAGAGUAUACGACUUGGGAGGAAAUAGACAGGUGGGCGGUCCACCCAGAGAGAGUGCCGGAGCCCGCCUGGGAUUCGCUGGAGCAGUGCGAAGAGGGCUAUAGAAGAAUGGAGUUGAAGAGACAAGCACGGCGGCGCAGAAGGAAGCCCGAGAGUCAGCCCCAAAAAUGUAUUGGGGGGCUCAGGGAGAGUGUGGCAGAGGCAGGGUUCAGACCUGAGCCAACUCCCCCUGUUUAUCGUGAGGAGCAGCGAUCACAGGACUUCUGGACGUGGGAGGAGAUAUUGGACGGAAAAGGACCCUGGACACAGCCUGGAGAAUAUCGCCGUCCCAAGGAAGAACUGGAGGCUGCGGAGAGGCGCUGGUAUGAGGAGGCAGCACGGCGACGCGGAUGGAAGCCUGAGAGUCAGCCCCAAAAAUGUAUUGGGGGGCUCAGGGAGAGUGUGGCAGAGUCAGGGUUCAGACCUGAGCCAACUCCCCUGUUUAUCGUGAGGAGCCAAGGAGGAGACCAGAACCAGAGCCGGUGUUGGAGGUGAGUGAAGCAGAGACUGUGAAGGAGUUAAUGGAGAAAGUAGAGGAGAGAGUUAUGAGGGAGUUGCUAGGUUGGUGCUUUAGGUACGAUAUUUGCCCGACGGAGCGUGUCGGGGAUUUGAUGGCACCUGGGUCAGCACUCCAUACUCGUCCUGAGGUGUGUGUUAGUCGGCUGGUGGAGAUUGUGCCAGCCUCACGCACUAGGCCUCCUGUGUACCUACCUAGACUUGCACAUCCUGUGCCAGCCCUGCUCUCAGGCUCUCCAGUACACCUUCACGGUCCGGUCCAUCCUGUGCCACCUUCACACACCAGUCCUCCGGUGGCAGCUCCCCGCACCAGGCUUCCUGUGCGUGUCCUCGGCCCAGUACCACCAGUGCCAGCACCACGCACCAGGCCUUCAGUGCGCCUCGCCUGUUCAGCGCUGCCAGAGCCUUUCUCCUCUCCAGUGCUGUCGGAGUCUCCCGCCUGUUUAGCGCUGUCGGAGUCUCCCGCCUGUUUAGCGCUGCCAGAGCCUUCCUCCUCUCCAGCGCUGCCGGAGUCUCCCGCCUUUUUAGCGCUAUCAGAGCCUUCCUCCUCUCCAGCGCUGCCGGAGUCUCCUGCCUGUUUAGCGCUGCCAGAGCCUUCCUCCUCUCCAGCGCUGCCGGAGUCUCCUGCCUGUUCAGCGCAGCCAGAGCUGCCAGUCUGCAUGGAGCAGCCAGAGCUGCCAGUCUGCAUGGAGCAGCCAGAGCUGUCAGUCUGCAUGGAGCAGCCAGAGCGGUCAGUCUGCAUGGAGCAGCCAGAGCUGUCAGUCUGCAUGGAGCAGCCAGUCUGCAUGGAGCAGCCAGAGCUGCCAGUCUGCAUGGAGCAGCCAGAGCUGCCAGUCUGCAUGGAGCAGCCAGAGCUAUCAGUCUGCAUGGAGUAGCCAGAGCUACCAGUCUGCAUGGAGCUGCCAGAUCCGCCAGUCAGCCAGGAUCUUCCAGAUCCGCCAAUCAGCCAGGAUCCGCCAGUCAGCCAGGAUCUGCCAGAACCACCAGCUAGCCAGGAUCUGCCAGAGCCAACUACCUGCCUGAGCUUCCUCUCAGUACUGGGCUUCCUCUCAGUACUGGGCUUCCUCUCGGUACUAGGCAUCCCCUCAGUGCUGAGCUUCCCCUCAGUCGCGAGCUUCCCCUCAGUCCCGAGCUGCCCC
ensembl:lncRNA